rnacentral:rRNA from 1 species
AGAGUUUGAUCCUGGCUCAGAAUGAACGCUGGCGGCGUGCUUAACACAUGCAAGUCGCACGAGAACGCUUCAGCUUGCUGAAGUUAGUAAAGUGGCGUACGGGUGAGUAACGCGUGGGUAAUCUACCUUCGAAUCGGGGAUAACAUCGCGAAAGCGGUGCUAAUACCGGAUAACAUCCAUUGGGUUCCGGCCUGUUGGAUCAAAGGUGGCCUCUACAUGUAAGCUACCAUUUGAAGAUGAGCCCGCGUACCAUUAGCUUGUUGGUAGGGUAACGGCCUACCAAGGCUACGAUGGUUAGCUGGUCUGAGAGGAUGAUCAGCCACACUGGAACUGACACACGGUCCAGACUCCUACGGGAGGCAGCAGUGAGGAAUUUUGCGCAAUGGGGGAAACCCUGACGCAGCAACGCCGCGUGAGUGAUGAAGGCCUUCGGGUCGUAAAGCUCUGUCAAGUGGGAAGAACCUGAUCCAUACUAAUAUCGUGGAUCACUGACGGUACCACUGAAGGAAGCACCGGCUAACUCCGUGCCAGCAGCCGCGGUAAUACGGAGGGUGCAAGCGUUAUUCGGAAUCACUGGGCGUAAAGGGCGCGCAGGCGGUUUGGUAAGUCAGAUGUGAAAGCCCGGGGCUCAACCCCGGAAGUGCAUUUGAUACUGCCAAGCUUGAGUAUGGGAGAGGGAAGUGGAAUUCCUGGUGUAGAGGUGAAAUUCGUAGAUAUCAGGAGGAACACCGGUG